GGGCCUGUAGCUCAGAUGGGAGAGCGUACGGUUCGCAUCCGUAAGGUCGCCGGUUCGAUCCCGGUCAGGUCCACCA
rnacentral:tRNA from 2 species